ensembl:lncRNA
CCAACUUGCUCCUGGGACGAAAGCAGGAAAAGAAACCAAACACGUUGAUGGCUUUGUAGCAUAUCCAACUACUCGAGAAAGAGGCUGAACAACAGUGAGUAAGCACUGGAGAUGUUGGUGCUGAAGUCCCAGAAGAGAACCAAAACCCCAAAAGUGCUCUCAUGCCAUGGGUUCAUCCUCCUCCUCUGCCCUGCACAGGGAGUGACUUCCAGUGGUUCAGAUGCUGCAGUUCAGCUGCAGAAGUAGUGGAGGAGCAGCACUAUGGUCGGUCCAGCAGCAUCCACACUAAUGGGGCCGCAGGGCGGAGCUUGUCUAGGUGAUUUGGCUGACC